CCCCGGCGCCACAAGUGGCAAUCUUAUAUUGGGCCUAAAGCAUUCGUAGCAGGUUUGAAAAAUCCUUUGUGAAAUCGUCGAACUCAAUACGACGGCAUGCAGAGGACACUUUUAGACUAGAGACUGGGAGGAGUUGGGGGUAUGCCUUGGGGAGCGGUUAAAUGUGAUAAUCCAAGGUAGACCACCUGUGGCGAAGGCGCCCAACUAGAACAGUUCUGACUGUGAGGGAUGAGAGCUAGGGUAGCGAUCCGGAUUAGAUACCCGAGUAGUCCUAGCUGUAAACACUGUGAGCUAGGUGUCGCAUAUUCUACGAGAAUAUGCGGUGUCGAAAAGAAGUUGAUAAGCUCACCGCCUGGGAAGUACGGUCGCAAGACUGAAACUUAAAGGAAUUGGCGGGGGAAUACACCAGGAGUGCGGCGUGCGGUUUAAUCUAACUCAACGCAGAACACCUUACUAGAAGCGACGGCAGGAUGAAGAUCAGUCUGAAGGGCUUAUCUGAUGAGCCGAGAGGUAGUGCAUGGCCGCCGUCAGCUCGUGUCGUAAGAUGUCCUGUUAAGUCAGGCAACGAGCAAGACCUGCGCCUAUAAUUGCAAACAGGCCCUUCGGGGUGACUGUGCACAUUAUAGGGACUGCCUUCGUAAGGAGGAGGAAGGUGCAGGCAACGGUAGGUCUGUAUGCUCCGAAUCUUCUAGGCUACACGCGCGCAACAGUGGUAAAGACAAUGGGAUGCAACUCCGUAAGGAGAAGCUAAUCCUCGAAACUUUAUCGUAGUUUAGAUUGUGGGUUGCAACUCACCCACAUGACAACGGAAUUCCUAGUAAUCAGAGUUCAUCAUACUCUGGUGAAUAUGUCCCUGUUCCU
rnacentral:rRNA from 1 species